AUUGAACGCUGGCGGCAUGCCUUGCACAUGCAAGUCGAACGGCAGCACGGGAGCAAUCCUGGUGGCGAGUGGCGAACGGGUGGGUAAUAUAUCGGAACGUGCCCAGUCGUGGGGGAUAACGUAGCGAAAGCUAAGCUAAUACCGCAUACGAUCCAUGGAUGAAAGCGGGGGAUCGCAAGACCGCGCGCGAUUGGAGCGGCCGAUAUCAGAUUAGGUAGUUGGUGGGGUAAAGGCCCACCAAGCCGACGAUCUGUAGCUGGUCUGAGAGGACGACCAGCCACACUGGAACUGAGACACGGUCCAGACUCCUACGGGAGGCAGCAGUGGGGAAUUUUGGACAAUGGGCGCAAGCCUGAUCCAGCAAUGCCGCGUGCAGGAUGAAGGCCUUCGGGUUGUAAACUGCUUUUGUACGGAGCGAAACGGUCUCUUCUAAUACAGGGGGCUAAUGACGGUACCGUAAGAAUAAGCACCGGCUAACUACGUGCCAGCAGCCGCCGUAA
rnacentral:rRNA from 1 species